AAAACACUUGACAAGAACCUUGGUAAGAUUUCUAUUGCUAUUCUGGAAAUUAAUAAACUUUUGUUUUAUGUCACGGACAAUAAUUGUGUUAAGGUGCACCAUGAUGUGCAUAAACAUUGUCAAUAUUGUGUUGUGUGGCUGGAAAUAUUAUUAUUACUAUAUCCUGGUAACUGCACUUUAUCUCUUCUGACACCCAAUUUAUUUUGUCAUUGUUUUAUGU
rnacentral:misc_RNA from 1 species